rnacentral:rRNA from 1 species
AGACCCGAAACCCGGUGAUCUAGCCAUGGGCAGGUUGAAGGUUGGGUAACACUAACUGGAGGACCGAACCGACUAAUGUUGAAAAAUUAGCGGAUGACCUGUGGCUGGGGGUGAAAGGCCAAUCAAACCGGGAGAUAGCUGGUUCUCCCCGAAAGCUAUUUAGGUAGCGCCUCGUGAAUUCAUCUCCGGGGGUAGAGCACUGUUUCGGCUAGGGGGCCAUCCCGGCUUACCAACCCGAUGCAAACUGCGAAUACCGGAGAAUGUUAUCACGGGAGACACACGGCGGGUGCUAACGUCCGUCGUGAAGAGGGAAACAACCCAGACCGCCAGCUAAGGUCCCAAAGUCAUGGUUAAGUGGGAAACGAUGUGGGAAGGCCCAGACAGCCAGGAUGUUGGCUUAGAAGCAGCCAUCAUUUAAAGAAAGCGUAAUAGCUCACUGGUCGAGUCGGCCUGCGCGGAAGAUGUAACGGGGCUAAACCAUGCACCGAAGCUGCGGCAGCGAACGUAUCACCCAAGACAACUUUGCGGAGUUGACGAUUGACGGAGCGAAGCGACGUCAAAGCGUUCAUUAAAGUCGAGUUGGCUUAGGGAUACGUUCGUUGGGUAGGGGAGCGUUCUGUAAGCCUGUGAAGGUGUGCUGUGAGGCAUGCUGGAGGUAUCAGAAGUGCGAAUGCUGACAUAAGUAACGAUAAAGCGGGUGAAAAGCCCGCUCGCCGGAAGACCAAGGGUUCCUGUCC